CAUGUCCACUUCAUCCAGCUGUUUCACAGAGUAUAUACAUAAAUAAGUGUAGCAUCAGAUCUUAACCAGUAGCAUAACUCUUGAGCUUCUUUGGAUUUGAGAAGAUGACAAAAAUGGGACAGUUGAAAGAAAUUUGGCAUGUUAAAUACAUAUUUACCAAGGAGAACAUAUAAAGAAUAUCAUCAUACAAAUCCCGAUAAUAAGUACCUGGCUGUAGUUGGACCGUAUAGGCUCUAGUUCAGCAGUGGGUGGAGCGGCCUCGAUUUCUGCUAAAGAUGUGUAGCCAAGAUGUGUCGCAGCCCAUCGUAGAAAUCUCCGAAGAUCCUGCUUACUAAUACUUCCAAUUGGAUUUA